rnacentral:rRNA from 1 species
ACAUUGGGACUGAGAUACGNNCCAGACUCNUAUGGGAGGCAGCAGUGGGGAAUAUUGCACAAUGGGCGGAAGCCUGAUGCAGCAACGCCGCGUGAGGGACGACGGCNUUCGGGUUGUAAACCUCUUUUAGCAGGGAAGAAGCGAAAGUGACGGUACCUGCAGAAAAAGCACCGGCUAACUACGUGCCAGCAGCCGCGGUAAUACGUAGGGUGCAAGCGUUAUCCGGAAUUAUUGGGCGUAAAGAGCUCGUAGGCGGUUUGUCGCGUCUGCUGUGAAAACUGGAGGCUCAACCUCCAGCCUGCAGUGGGUACGGGCAGACUAGAGUGCGGUAGGGGAGAUUGGAAUUCCUGGUGUAGCGGUGGAAUGCGCAGAUAUCAGGAGGAAUACCGAUGGCGAAGGCAGAUCUCUGGGCCGUAACUGACGCUGAGGAGCGAAAGGGUGGGGAGCAAACAGGCUUAGAUACCCUGGUAGUCCACCCCGUAAACGUUGGGAACUAGUUGUGGGGACCAUUCCACGGUUUCCGUGACGCAGCUAACGCAUUAAGUUCCCCGCCUGGGAAGUACGGCCACAAGGCUAAAACUCAAAGGAAUUGACGGGGACCCGCACAAGCGGCGGAGCAUGCGGAUUAAUUCGAUGCAACGCGAAGAACCUUACCAAGGCUUGACAUAUACGAGAACGGGCCAGAAAUGGUCAACUCUUUGGACACUCGUAAACAGGUGGUGCAUGGUUGUCGUCAGCUCGUGUCGUGAGAUGUUGGGUUAAGUCCCGCAACGAGCGCAACCCUCGUUCUAUGUUGCCANCA